CCCACUCACUCACUUACGCACGGCAGGAGCGGGGGACCCAGGUAAGCCGCCGGUCCGGGAUUCCGGAACGGCUCGGGGUGAAGUCGCAUGCCCAGUGCGGCCGGACAUCUCCCGUCCGAACCCGACAGCUCACCUCGCAGGCGACGGAGAGGAUUU
rnacentral:sRNA from 2 species